rnacentral:rRNA from 1 species
UACGGGGGGGGCAAGCGUUGUUCGGAAUUACUGGGCGUAAAGGGCUCGUAGGCGGCCAACUAAGUCGGACGUGAAAUCCCCAGGCUCAACCUGGGAACUGCGUCCGAUACUGGAUGGCUUGAAUCCGGGAGAGGGAUGCAGAAUUCCAGGUGUAGCGGUGAAAUGCGUAGAUAUCUGGAGGAAUACCGGUGGCGAAGGCGGCAUCCUGGACCGGCAUUGACGCUGAGGAGCGAAAGCCAGGGGGAGCAAACGGG